rnacentral:rRNA from 1 species
UAAGCGGAGGAAAAGAAACUAACAAGGAUUCCCCUAGUAGCGGCGAGCGAAGCGGGAAGAGCUCAAAUUUGUAAUCUGGCAGCAAUGCCCGAGUUGUAAUCUAUAGAGUCGUUUUCGGUGCCGGACCGCGUCCAAGUCCCUUGGAACAGGGUAUCAAAGAGGGUGAGAAUCCCGUGCUUGACGCGACGACCGGGGCUGUGUGAUACGUCUUCUACGAGUCGAGUUGUUUGGGAAUGCAGCUCUAAACGGGUGGUAAAUUCCAUCUAAAGCUAAAUAUUGGCGAGAGACCGAUAGCGAACAAGUACCGUGAGGGAAAGAUGAAAAGCACUUUGGAAAGAGAGUUAAACAGUACGUGAAAUUGUUGAAAGGGAAACGAUUGAAGUCAGUCGUGUUCAUUGGUUUCAGCGGGUUCUGCCCGUGUAUUACCUUUGAACGGGUCAACAUCGGUUAGAUUGGGUGCAGAAAGGCGUUGGGAAGGUAGCACCCUCGGGUGUGUUAUAGCCCGGCGUCAUAUACACUCGACCUGACCGAGGCUUGCGGUGUGCCUCUUUUGAGGCGGUCUCUUUGGACCCCCACACCUGGGAUGUUGGCAAAAUGGCUUUAAACGACCCGUCUUGAAACACG